UUUAUUCUCUGCAAAUCAUGGCACGUAGGCAAUCGACACCACUGCUGAUGAUAUCGAUCUUACACAUUGUUCAUCAUUCCAUUCUAGUACAUUUCUACUGGCUACGUCCGGCAGCAGCAGACGCUGGGCGAGUUCAAGCAGUUGCCGCCCUUGCCGAACAACGCCACGUUCCUGCACCAGCUGCUGCAGUCCGGCAGGAAGUUAUCGCACGGGCCCAUGCACUGGU
rnacentral:lncRNA from 1 species